AUGUAUUGAAUUAACCGUUUUAAACCGCUGCUACCUUGACGAUGAAUUUGCGCCCUACACUUCAAAAAAAAAUCCCUAUUUUUUGUUUUGGUUUCUCAUUCCAAAUCUAAUGCACUUUUCUCUCUCUCUCAUUCGCCAGUCUCCAAAACCCGGCGAAGUUCUUCCAAUCGGACCAUGGAAGCUUGAAUUUGGGUGAGUUUUUGUAUGUCUGGAACUCUACAAAGUUCAGUUUUCGUUUGUUAUUGGCCAGUAUUUUUCGACUGGAACUUUCCACAGAGGAAUAAUGAUAAGAUAGAUGAAGGACUGGCACGAGCAAGAGCGACGAUUCAAAAUGCUGCUGAUGUUGAAAACCUCUCAAUUUAUCAGUUAGUAUCAUUGAAUUUCAUACCUGAA